CCUACGGGGGGCAGCAGUGGGGAAUAUUGGACAAUGGGCGCAAGCCUGAUCCAGCCAUGCCGCGUGAGUGAUGAAGGCCUUAGGGUUGUAAAGCUCUUUUGCCAGGGAAGAUAAUGACUGUACCUGGAGAAUAAGCCCCGGCUAACUUCGUGCCAGCAGCCGCGGUAAUACGAAGGGGGCUAGCGUUGUUCGGAAUCACUGGGCGUAAAGCGCACGUAGGCGGAUUCUUAAGUCAGGGGUGAAAUCCCGAGGCUCAACCUCGGAACUGCCUUUGA
rnacentral:rRNA from 1 species